rnacentral:rRNA from 1 species
GAUGAACGCUGGCGGCGUGCCUAAUACAUGCAAGUCGAGCGAACAGACGAGGAGCUUGCUCCUCUGACGUUAGCGGCGGACGGGUGAGUAACACGUGGAUAACCUACCUAUAAGACUGGGAUAACUUCGGGAAACCGGAGCUAAUACCGGAUAAUAUAUUGAACCGCAUGGUUCAAUAGUGAAAGACGGUUUUGCUGUCACUUAUAGAUGGAUCCGCGCCGCAUUAGCUAGUUGGUAAGGUAACGGCUUACCAAGGCAACGAUGCGUAGCCGACCUGAGAGGGUGAUCGGCCACACUGGAACUGAGACACGGUCCAGACUCCUACGGGAGGCAGCAGUAGGGAAUCUUCCGCAAUGGGCGAAAGCCUGACGGAGCAACGCCGCGUGAGUGAUGAGGGUCUUCGGAUCGUAAAACUCUGUUAUUAGGGAAGAACAAAUGUGUAAGUAACUAUGCACGUCUUGACGGUACCUAAUCAGAAAGCCACGGCUAACUACGU